GGAGGGUGCGAGCGUUGUUCGGAAUUAUUGGGCGUAAAGCGCGUGUAGGCGGUUUGUUAAGUCUGAUGUGAAAGCCCCGGGCUCAACCUGGGAAGUGCAUUGGAAACUGGCAGACUUGAGUACGGGAGAGGAGAGUGGAAUUCCCAGUGUAGGAGUGAAAUCCGUAGAUAUUGGGAGGAACACCGGUGGCGAAGGCGGCUCUCUGGACCGAUACUGACGCUGAGACGCGAAAGCGUGGGUAGCAAACAGGAUUAGAUACCCUGGUAGUCCACGCCGUAAACGAUGAGUACUAGGUGUUGCGGGUAUUGACCCCUGCAGUGCCGCAGCUAACGCAUUAAGUACUCCGCCUGGGAAGUACGGUCGCAAGACUAAA
rnacentral:rRNA from 1 species